UGGUAGGCUACAGUCCAUGGGGUCACAGAGAGUCAGACAGGACUGAGUGAUAAACAUUCACUCUGAAGGCUGGAUAUCCCCUGGGAGAUGUUUUACAAGACUGAAGACCCUUUCACUUUACUUCCCCACUGCACCUCCCUCCCUUUUCUGUCUUUUGUCUUUAGUUCCUCAUUGCUUCUUUCUCUCUGAUCUAUAAAAGAACCUGAUAUCCAGACCCAAAGAAGAUGGUUAUUUUGAGGCACUAGCCUGCCAUCUUAUCUUCUCGGUCUGCCAGCUCCUGGAUUAAAGUCUCUCCUUGCCUCAACACCUCGUCUCUUGGAUUCACUAACCUACUGUGUGUGGCGAGCAGAGUAAGCUUGGACCUGGAAACAGAGGAAAAUGACAGGACAAAGCCCACCUCCGCAUGUGCGUGUCCUCACACACCCACCCCUGUGGAGAAAAAUGAAAACUAAUGGGGCUAGAAGAGAAAAGAGCAAGACAUUAUCUUCAAAUAUCAUUUAGGGAAUUGAAGAAUAAUACAGUUUAAUAAUAAUAUUUUACA